rnacentral:rRNA from 1 species
UACGUAGGGUGCGAGCGUUAAUCGGAAUUACUGGGCGUAAAGCGUGCGCAGGCGGUUUGCUAAGACCGAUGUGAAAUCCCCGGGCUUAACCUGGGAACUGCAUUGGUGACUGGCAGGCUAGAGUAUGGCAGAGGGGGGUAGAAUUCCACGUGUAGCAGUGAAAUGCGUAGAGAUGUGGAGGAGUACCGAUGGCGAAGGCAGCCCCCUGGGCCAAUACUGACGCUCAUGCACGAAAGCGUGGGGAGCAAACAGG